GUCUAGAUGGUGUAUUUUAAUCACAUUACCUUUUCAAGGUGAAGAAGAACCUUAGUUUUCUAGAUA
rnacentral:tRNA from 1 species